CGCCUCAAAAACGCAAACUACAACUGAUGGAA
rnacentral:sRNA from 1 species